rnacentral:rRNA from 1 species
UAUGGAGAGUUUGAUCCUGGCUCAGAGCGAACGUUAGCGGCGGGCUUAACACAUGCAAGUCGAGCGAGAAAGGGGCUUCGGCCCUCAGUAAAGCGGCGGACGGGUGAGUAACACGUAGGUAAUUUUCCCUUGAGCGGGGGACAACGUUCCGAAAGGGACGCUAAUACCGCAUAAGUUCUUUGAGUCUUCGGACUUGGAGAGGAAAGCUAGGUAGCAAUAUCUGGCACUCGAGGAGAAGCCUGCGUCGCAUCAGCUAGUUGGUGGGGUAAUGGCCUACCAAGGCGAAGACGCGUAGCUGGUCUGAGAGGAUGAUCAGCCACACUGGGACUGAGACACGGCCCAGACUCCUACGGGAGGCAGCAG